rnacentral:lncRNA from 1 species
AUAAAUUCAAAUACAAAGAAAGUAAGAAAACUCUCAUUCGAGUUUUCCAAUAAGUGUAGUCCGUCCCAUUCAAAAAAGGGAGGACAAAUGAGAGAGUGACCCUCUUGAAAGCCGUAAAGAGCCAUUUCUAUUUGGGUGUUAAACUAAGGUAGAAAAACGUGGCUCUGAUACCAAUUGUUAGGAUCGGAGCGGCACUAAGAGGGGGGGGGGGGGUGAAUUAGUGCAGC